UACGUAGGGGGCAAGCGUUGUCCGGAUUUAUUGGGCGUAAAGAGCGUGUAGGCGGCCUGACAGGUCUGCUGUGAAAACUCGAGGCUUAACCUCGAGAUGUCAUCGGAAACCAUUUGGCUAGAGUCCGGAAGAGGAGAGUGGAAUUCCUGGUGUAGCGGUGAAAUGCGCAGAUAUCAGGAAGAACACCAAUGGCGAAAGCAGCUCUCUGGGACGGUACUGACGCUGAGACGCGAAAGCGUGGGGAGCGAACAGG
rnacentral:rRNA from 1 species